rnacentral:rRNA from 1 species
GGGNCGGGGCAAGCGUUGUUCGGAAUUACUGGGCGUAAAGGGCGCGUAGGCGGUUGGAUAAGUCAGCUGUGAAAACCACGGGCUUAACUCGUGGCCUGCAGUUGAGACUGUCUGGCUUGAGUGUGGGAGAGGAGAGUGGAAUUCCUGGUGUAGCGGUGAAAUGCGUAGAUAUCAGGAGGAACACCGGUGGCGAAGGCGGCUCUCUGGACCACAACUGACGCUGAGGCGCGAAAGCUAGGGGAGCAAACAGGAUUAGAUACCCUGGUAGUCCUAGCUGUAAACGAUGGAUACUUGCUGUGGGGGGUGUUAAAUCCCCCUGUGGCGGAGCUAACGCAUUAAGUAUCCCGCCUGGGGAGUACGGUCGCAAGGCUG